CAGCCGCCACGGUAAUACCGGCGGCCCGAGUGGCGGUCACUAUUAUUGGGCUUAAAGCGUCCGUAGCCGGGUUGGGAAGUCCUCCGGGAAAUCUGGCCGCUUAACGGUCAGAAUGCCGGAGGAUACUCCCAGCCUAGGGAGCGGGAGAGGCCGAGGGUAUUCCCGGAGUAGGGGGGAAAUCCUAUAAUCCCGGGAGGACCACCUGUUGCGAAGGCGCUCGGCUGGAACGCGUCCGACGGUGAGGGACGAAGGCCAGGGGAGCAAACCGGAUUAGAUACCCGGGUAGUCCCAGCCGUAAACGAUGCUCGCUAGGUGUCAGGCAUGGCAUGACUGUGCCUGGUGCCGAAGGGAAGCCGUGAAGCGAGCCACCUGGGAAGUACGGCCGCAAGGCUGAAACUUAAAGGAAUUGGCGGG
rnacentral:rRNA from 1 species